UGCAUAAUGAUUACAUUAAUAUAAAUAAUAUAUAUUACUAUCCACUUUAAUAUAUCACAAAAUCUUUAGUAAAAGCCAAUACAUUGUUGAGGUGCCACUUAAAGGCGGAUGUCGUGGCUUGGGUCAUCUCGACACCACCCAUCUCAUGCAGCGUGUCACGGAGGUGGCCCAUGGUGUCCGCUAGGUUCUCCAGAGAGUCACGUACCGAUUCAUCGUCGCUGACCACAAUCCCUUCAUGUUGCCGCCACACCGGGAUGUUGCCACCGGACCAUGUGACCCAUCUAUGAAAAAGCGGCACACACCAGUUCCCGUUGGCUCCGCGGCGGCGCAAGCCCUCGUACAACGCCAAACUCUGCUCGUACAACGACGAUGUGCAAGGGUUAUCCAGCAGAGUUGGAUUUUUGGGUUGCACAUAUACAUAAUCAAAAAACGUAUGUGGUUAGCUGUCAUAUAUUAUUUUUGUUGUCUUAUUCAAUUACAUGCAUGAGAGUUUAUCCGUGGUACACACUCUGGUUGUUAGACACAGGAAAGACCGAAAGAGGAACAAAUUUAUGGGGGUUUGUUUUCUAAUGACUAAUUUUUAGUCUCUUUAUUUUAUUUCAUUUUAGUUUAUAGAUUACAAAUAUAGAAAUUAGAAUAAAGUUUUAGUUUCCAUAUUUUAUAAUUUAUAAAUUAAAAUAGAAUAAAAUAGUGGAACUAAAAGUUUAACACCCUCUUACACGGUUUAUGUAUGCGCGCACGAUGGUGACGGUAAAAAACUGAUUCACGACGACGGUAAAAACUUCAGUGGAGAAGAGGAGAGAAGAGAUUACGGUUCAAACCUCAAAAAUAUUUACAUGUUGCGUCAGAUAAAUAACCCGCCCCGUCGCCGCCGCCACCGCAACGGUCGGAUACUGAAGUACUGAACGGUUCGAGUUUGGAACACUUCAUUCCGCCCCGUCCCCAAUCUCUCCAUCUCCGGCUCUCCACCUUCCACAAAUCCCCAAAUCGCCACAUCAAAUCGAAUCCACCCACCACGGACCACGCAUUCGCCAUGGAGUUUCCCAAGCGAGGGCGAGCUUUUCUCCAAGGUUCCAUCGCGAGCCCUCGCUUCAGUUACGCCAUCUGUGCCCCAUUCCGAUCCCCUUACAUUUCUUCAUUUGCAGGUUCCCUGCGAAGGAGCCCCAAGGCGACGAUACCUGGAGCUGCCACGGGGGCCGACGAGAACGCAAGCUCUAAGCAUCUCGUGCCGGUGGGGGCCGCGUCGCCGAAGAGGAAGAAGGUGCUCGGGGAGAGGAACGACAGCGGCGUCGGGGGCAUGGAGGGCGCCGCGUCGGCACCAGUGCAGCAGCCAAAGCUCGCGUUGAGCCCCCCGACACCCGCGAGCCGCGGCGCGGGGCCGUACGACCCGAAGACGAACUACACCACGCCGCGGCCGGCGUUCCUGCGCUACGACCCCGAACGGCGUCGCGAGAUCCUCCUCCGGGUGUCGCGUGCGGCAGAGGUGAUGGACGACGACUGCUCUAGCACCACAUCCGGCACUGCGGCCUCGGAGGAGGACGGUGGCUCGUCCUUGGCCUCGGACGCGGCGGCAGGCUCCCUUAUCUCGUCGCCGCCAAGGAGCGACUCCGAGGCCGAGCUUGAUGACAGCGAGGAGGAAGAGGAAGUAGUCCCAGCUCGUCGAGGCCGGUGGGCCAGGCGGUUGCUUCUGUUGCUCGUCUGUGUGUCCUGCUCGUUCUGCUACAUGUAUUGCGCCAAACCCUCUGGCUUUCCUACUUAUUCAGAAGACGCACUUGAUUUGGAUAGAGGUAUUGGGGGCAUGUACGAUGCCUAUGAUCAUGAAUUAGACUCACUGAGAUUGUUAGGGCCAGUUCAUAUGAUGGGUCCAGAGGAUGUGCUGGAAGAAAUUACAAAUCAACUUGUGCACGAGGACUCUAAAAGUGUGGACCAUCUGUAUGGCAACAGAGCUCCUAGAAAUCUGGUGGCAGUUGCUAUGGUAGGGCUAGCUGAUAUCUGCCUCAAUGUUUCUUCAGGAGAAUUUACAUGCCAAAUUGGGGGUGAAAAAGGUGAGAAUGUGCCUGAUUUGAAGGAAGAUUCUGAAAUGGACAAACUCGAUACAGAACUGACAAUCUCCUUUCAGAAUGACAAGCAAAGCAGUGAAGUUGAUUGCCUGGGUGGAAACGCCCCACUGGAUUCCAUUGGUUCCACUUCUACUCACACUGAUAACUUGGAGGGCAGUUUGGAAUCAUUCCAUCUAGAGGAAUGGGAUGAUUACUCAAAUCAAUCUGAACUGCAGUUAGUCUCCAUGGAGAGGGCUAUAAAAUCAGCAAGUUACAAGCUGAAAGACAGAACGGGUUUGGAAAGUGAGGAGUUGGAUCUAUGGCAGUAUGAGAAUACAGCAGAAGCUGCUAAAACAAUAUGCUCUACUGUAAAAUUUCUGUGGUCUGCAAUGGAACCUCACUUGCUGCAGGUAUUGGCAUGCUUGUCUUUUGCAGGUUUGGUGGCUGCAUUAUAUAGGUAUUAUCAAAGAUCAAGAGAGUGCUGCAACUGCAUCAUAACCUAUGACUCACUUGCUGAACAACCAUUGUUAGUUCAACAUCAAGUUGCGCAGCUGUCAGUGACUUCAGUUCGAGAUGCACAGCUACCUGUUCACUCUUCGGAGCAACCUAUACAAUUGGCAAUUCCUAACCAAGGCACGGCUGGUAGUUUGGAGGUUCCUAUGGAGUUGACAUUGCCCAAGCUGGACCCAUUGGUCAGUCUUGAGGAUCCUGCACAAGAGUCAUUGCCCAUGACAGACCCACUGGUCACCGUCAAGAUUCCUGUGAUUGGUCGUGGGAUCCAUGAUCAGAAACUUAAACGUGGGGAUUCUGAGAACAUUAAGGCUUCAAAUGGUAUGUUUCUGAACCAUAGUGACGUUGACAGCUCCAAGCCACCAGUGGUUGAACUACUUGGAGAGUUCGUGCUUGCAAGUAGCUCAAGAGAAAGAUCUACCAAGAAAUUGUAUCAGAAUGCUGGAGAUGCUACAGAUAAGAAAUUGUUGAAACCUUUGAAAAAGGAUGAGGAUGUUGAAAAGAUGCAGAUGCAUUCAAGCAUCAUCCAAAGCCCUAGUGUUGGAAGAGCCAAAAAAGAGGUAAACCCAAUCCUUACUACUUUCAUCUCUGUAGUUCAUUUAGUACUACUAGGUUGUGGAAGCAUGCGCGGUUGCAUAGUAUGAGAACCGAGAAAUGAGAAAUGUUUAUCCAGAAGAAAUUAACCAGAUUUCAAUGCUUGUGCACUCUAAUUAACUUGAGGUUCAUAGAAAAUUUGGUGGCUGUAUUGAUUUUAGAUGAAUUAGGUGGUGUGCUAUUUUUAUGAGAUAAAUUUAUUCAAGCCACUUCCUUUUUCCUCCAUAUACAAAAUUAUGGUGUGGGUCUGUGGGGGCUAACGCUACUAAGGUUCAGCCUACUGGUUGAGACAGAUACAGAGGGGGGCCAGUAGGACCAAAAUCAACGAAAUUUUGGUGGGAGUUUUCAAAUCUUUAUGAAAUUUCUGAUAAAAAUUUAAAAAAGAAUGAGAUAGGACCGAAAUUGCUGGUAUGUAUAUUUACCAGAGGUCACCAGCAGACCUGAAAAUCGGCCAAAAUUCUGAACUCUGGAAUCUGUACUAAUGGCUUAUUCUCAAACUCGUAUGGACUGAUAGUGACUAAUCAGUUUGCACUAGUAAGUGGUUCGUACAUAACGGUUUCAGUUUGUAGAAGAAGUUCCAGGCCCUGUUCUUUAUAGACCGUCGCUGUGAUGAAUUUUUAAGUAAUAAAUAGCGUUAUUGUUGCUCUUACUUUAAUGAUCUUGGUUCAACACUUCACGUUUAGAAAAUUAUGUAUUAUCAAAUCAGACAGGACAGAGGAAUUGAGAUUUUGAUUCGCAAUUUGGUUGGCGGUGAGCUGUCCACUUACUGCAUGAUUUUCCACAGCAGGAGAAAUCUAUAAACCGGG
rnacentral:lncRNA from 1 species